ensembl:lncRNA novel transcript
ACAGACCAAGCUCCAGGGUCCCUCAGGUAGCCAGGUGUGCGGCACAGCUUUGUCCCUCCCAGAACUCAGUUUCCCCAGCAGGGGGCCCGGGGACUAUUCCAAUCCAGUACUCUGGCCUGCCCCUCCCCUCGCUCUCACUGACCUCCCAGCAGCCAGACCAGGUAGGUAUCCAGGCUCCUUCCUAUCCUGCCCCCUGCCCCGCUCCAUCCUCAUCUUUCCCUUAAAGAAACCUCUCUCCAAGGUCCACGGUUACAUCACAUACAGCUUUGCACACCCAGUGCCCAGCACAGAACCCCCACCCUCUGUGGUUGUCCUUUCGCUUCUCGCAAGGUCCAUGGGAGCAGGGGACCAGGCUGGGACAACAUGUGGCCCCACCUGGUUGCUAUAAAAGCUCAGGUAAGGAAGUUUACAGAAAUAUGUUGGGGUUACUGCACCUGUAAAAAGUGAAAAUGGCCAAUUAUCAUCAAUGUCAAGAAGAAAAAUUGCCCUUGUUGCCCUUUCACUGUAGUAAAGUGCUGCUUCCAACAAACCAGCACACAAAUGCCAACCACAGGUGCAUUCCGCUUGGGAGGAUGGGGGAGAAACUAGUUGUUUGACUCUGUACAAGAACCAAUCACCAGGUUUCCUUAAAUGGCACACUUUCUUUGAAAUCUGAAGCAAGAAAUUACCUCUCCGGACACAACCAAGUUCAUCUCGUGUCCUCUCAGGACAUACAGCCGGGCUCCACUAGAGGGCAGCAGAAAGAUGGAGAUGCUCGAGAGAAAAGGAGACUUAAGUUAGUUCUCACCAUCCGUGGAGGGUGUGAGGAACCCAAUAAAAACCGUACUGGUAUUA